GCCCCAGAGGCACAGUGGUUAAAUGCUUGGUUGCUAACCGAAAGGUUGGUGGUUCAAACCCACCCAGUGGCU
rnacentral:tRNA from 1 species